CGCAGCGGGAAGCAGUGGCCAAUAGCUGAGUCAAUAAGGUAGCUCUGCUUCUAUUUAUUGUACUGUUGAGGGGCAGCCUGUGCUCUCUUGACGCAGUUUGCCUUCCACACGCAAAUUUUAAAUUUGUCGUCAAAAAUAAAUUCUGCAAGAUGUCGAAAGAUAUUCCCCGUGAGCCAGAGCAGCUCCGCAAGCUGUUCAUCGGCGGCUUGAGCUUCGAGACCACAGACGAGAGUUUGCGGGACCAUUUCCAAAACUGGGGGAGUCUUACAGAUUGUGUGGUGAUGAGAGACCCCGGCAGCAAGAGGUCCAGGGGUUUUGGCUUUGUCACCUACUCAUCUGUCCAGGAGGUUGAUGCUGCCAUGGGUGCCCGACCCCACAAGGUUGACGGAAGAGUGGUUGAACCCAAGCGGGCAGUUUCCAGAGAGGAUUCCAAUCGACCGGGUGCUCAUGUAACCGUGAAGAAAAUAUUUGUUGGAGGAAUUAAAGAGGACACAGAGGAAUCGCACCUGCGUGAUUACUUCCAGGAGUUUGGAAAAAUUGAGGUUAUUGAAAUAAUGAAUGAUCGCAACACUGGCAAGAAGAGGGGGUUUGCUUUUGUGACCUUUGAUGACCACGACUCAGUCGACAGGAUUGUCAUCCAGAAAUAUCACACAAUUAACUCACACAACUGUGAAGUAAGGAAGGCUCUUCCAAGGCAGGAUAUGCAGUCAGGAAUGGGAAUGAGAGGAGGAUUUUCAGGUGGUCGGAGCGGUGGCGGAAGGCCCUAUGACUAUGACAGAGGUUUCAACCAGGGUGGCAGGGGCAGAUACGGAGACAGCCAUUACAACUGCAAUGGAGGCGAUGGUGGUUAUGGAGGCGGUAUUGGCGGAUAUAACAAUGGAGGCAGCCGUGGCUAUAACCAGGGCUACAGCCAGGGUGGGGGCGGAGGUGGCGGCUAUGGUGGAAAUGGCUACGACAGCAACGGUUAUGGCAACUGCGGCGGAGGUGGCGGCGGCGGCGGAAACUACAACAACAUGGGCCACUACGACUCCCAGUCCUCUAACUUCGGCCCAAUGAAGAACAACUUUGGUGGUGGUGGCGGCGGCGGUGGCGGCAGGAGCUAUGGCGGCUACGGAGGAAGCUCAAACAGCGGAUAUGGACGUCAAGGGCGGUUUUGAAGCGACAAGGAAGUGCAGUGAAGUGUACUCUCAGUGGGGGGGACCAACUUCUUCUGACAACAAAUAAUCAGAAUCCUCAGAAGGAUGAAUUGGUGCUGAAGAUAUUCAUCCAGGUCAGACGAGAGCUGUCCUAUCUCGUCAAAAUUAUACGCUCAUGACGUUUGUUUUUUGUGUGAACUUUUUAAUAAAAUUUUAUUUUUUUAAUGAAACUUGCAAUGUUGUUUUUGUAUAAAAAAUACAAUACAAAAUCUCCAGAUUUAGGACUUAAGGACUUUGGUCUAUUUCAAAGGUCGGCACAAAAAAAAUAAAAAAAAAAGGUCGGCACAAAAAAAAUCCAAAACUAAAAGUCGGCACAAAAAAAAAAUCAAA